UACGGGGGGAGCAAGCGUUGUUCGGAUUUACUGGGCGUAAAGGGCGCGUAGGCGGCACCGCAAGUCGACUGUGAAAUCUCCGGGCUUAACCCGGAAAGGUCAACCGAUACUGCGGGGCUAGAGUGCAGAAGGGGCAACUGGAAUUCUCGGUGUAGCGGUGAAAUGCGUAGAUAUCGAGAGGAACACCUGCGGCGAAGGCGGGUUGCUGGGCUGACACUGACGCUGAAGUGCGAAAGCUAGGGGAGCGAACGGG
rnacentral:rRNA from 1 species